rnacentral:rRNA from 1 species
UACGAAAGGGGCUAGCGUUGUUCGGAAUUACUGGGCGUAAAGCGCACGUAGGCGGCCUUGUAAGCUGGGGGUGUAAUCCCCAGGCUCAACCAGAGAAUUGCCUUCAUGACUGCAAAGUUCGAGGAUGCGAGAGGUGAAUGGAAUUCCGAGUGUAGAGGUGAAAUUCUUAGAUAGUCGGAAGAACACCAGUGGCGAAGGCGAUUCACUGGCGCAUUUCUGACGCUGAGGUGCGAUAGCGUGGGGAACAAACAGG